rnacentral:tRNA from 1 species
GCGGGAGUGCCAGAGUCUGGAAAAUGGGCAGGACUUAAGAUCCUGUGGCUUAGUGCCUACGCAGGUUCAAAUCCUGUCUCCCGCA